UCGGUUGCGCUAUAUUGUUGUCGUUACGCCCUUGACCGAUGAUGUGCGAUCCUCGACCGGAAGCGACAAAUGUCGCUGCCCUUUACAUUUCGCCCUCCUCCCAUUUGCAAGUUCUCUCCUUCGGUUCCUCUUUAUUAUUGUUGUUAUGCCACCGGCCAACAUGUGCGAUCCGUGACCAGAAGCGACAAAUGUCAUCGUCCUCCACGUACCGCCCGCCCUUUCUUUCCGUUACUUCAGAAUCACACGUGACUUUGGCCAAUGCAGUUUUUAUACUUGAUUUGAAAAGGCCUAUCCCGGCCACAUCUUAGUAAAUACGGCACAAUUUUUUUUGCAUGAAUUCAUCUUGUAUUCGAUGACCUCAUUUAAUUCCUUCUUCUUUUCUUUUCUUUUUGUAGUGAUCCAUUCAUUCUUCUUAUCGUGCCAUGGUGGUAGAAAUCCGGUUACGUCCUCCCCUCCCAUUUGGAAGUUUCGCCUUGGGUUCCCAUUUAGUACUGUCAUUAUGUCUCCGGCCAAUGAUUUUCAAUCUGUGAGCGCCAAUUGUCAUCGUCCUCCCCAUGCCGAAUUUACCUCCCUCCCUCCUUCCUUUUUUGUCGAGCCUUCAAAAUCACACGUGGAUUGGGGCAGUGUAUGCGCUGGUUUACCACUUGAUUGUAAGGUGGUUACCACUUGAUUCAUACAUUCCCCUAAAAAAAACUUGAUUCAU
rnacentral:lncRNA from 1 species